UAUCACAUAAGCCAUACAUCACAUAUCAUGGGGAUGAGAUUUACACAUACAUCAUAAUCAUAAUCAUAAUCAUAAUCACAUCAAUUAUCAUGUGUUUCAUAAAAUCACUCAAUUAGAGUCAUUUACAUGGUGUAAGGCCCAAUUUUGGCCCGGGCUCGCAUAAAUAAAAAUUAAAACCAAAUAAAAAAACACAAAAAAACAAAGCCCAGCAAACUAAACCCAAUUAGUCUAACCUAAACCCGAUUACAACAAAAAAGGGAAACUCUAAAGCGCUAUCUGCCCUAGCCGCCGCACUCCCAACAGCUUCCAGCACCGCCCUCCACGUCACUGUACGACCUUCGUACACCUGCAGAAAACCAAUAGCACACAAAGAAGCAGCGAAAAAAAGAAGAAAACAAAAUAACGAAAAAGAAUGACAAAUUUUAUAUUUUUUCUUUUUAUUUUGUAUUUUUUCGGUAUAUAAACCGAUUGCAAAUAGAACAGAAGGGAAAGAAAAAAAGGAUGUAAAGAAAAAUUGAAAAAAAUCAAUACAAAACCACAAAAAAAAAUCAUUAAAAAAACAGUAAAGAAUACAUCAUUUAGGUGAUUCUCCGAUUUCAUUUUUUUUUAUUUUUAGUUUUCUUUGAUUUUUUUAUCUUUAUUUUAUAUGCGAAAAAAAUAAAAAAGGAAGAAGAGGAAGGCUU
rnacentral:lncRNA from 1 species